CGUGUGCCUCCCUCCUCAUUUUCCCGGGAUCUCUAUGGACAAAGCAUUUAAGUAUUUUCCUGUUUGGCUGUGGGCUGCUGACCCUGCACAAUGGCCCACUGAGCUAUAAAUAUGUCAACAUACAGCUUUAUACAAAAUAAAGGAAUAGAACCACUGAGGCUUAUUUUUAUACCACGUCUAUUUUAUUGCAUUUCCUAUUGCAUCCAAGACUUAGUCACUUAGUCAAGUUUCACUCCUCAUUCAACAAAGUGCAUUGAUUCGUCAGCAGUAUCGGAAGACGUAAUUGUAGCGGCGGUGGCGUAGUUUGAAAUACGCGCGUAGUCUUUUCUCAUGUGGACGUUAGAAGUCUUACUUUGCAUUUAUACAUUGACUUGGUGGAAAGAGUCGACAAGGCACGACAUUGGUGAAACUGCUGAACACAGAAGAGAACCUUUGUAUCUGAAGUAGGCCACUAGCUAAGAAAUGCCACGGUAAUAUUCUUUGUAAAGGUCACUGUCUGUUUGAGUUAGAAAACUAGGAUUUCUAUAAGUGAAACAUGAGAAAUAUGUGAGUCUAACAAAAUAACUGUUUUGCAUUUUACAAAAUCUACUCAUUAAAACAGACAACCUCUAGGCUACUCUGCACACUUUCAUUACAGUCUCUAAAUGCAGAAUAUAAAAAUUAAGUCAACAUUGCAGUCAAAAGGGAAGAGGGUUGUGGGGCAAAUGUGGGUUAGGACUUUUCACUUUGGACGGCGCCUUCGAGCACAUGACGGACAGUUUCCAGUGGGGUCCAGUGGGGCAUCGGGGAGAGGUGCAGGGGUUCAAGCGUCAGGGGUCGGGGAGAGACGUAACGGGAGGCUCCUUCGGGCUGAAACACAAGGAAAAACGGGACACAAAGCUAAAAAAACGAGGUCACACAUUUUCCAGUAGACGGUCUGCGGUGGCUGCUGCGCCGGUGCCACCCAGCGCGCCCGCUGCUCCGGGGGCACGUGUGAAGCUCACUUAGCAGCCUCCGCUAACGAGGCGUGACAGGGGCUCGCAGGGUUUGGGAGAAACAGUUGAGGGAAGAGAAGCUCGCUCUGUGGCCCUUAAUGCACGAGGUCACUGACGCCUGACAUGCGGCGAGGGACUUAAAGACCUGCUUUGAAGAUGAGGAUUAUUAUUA
ensembl:lncRNA